rnacentral:rRNA from 1 species
UGCGGAAUUUUAGAUAAUGGAGGGAACUCUGAUCUAGCGACGCCGCGUGCAGGAAGAAGGUCUUCGGAUUGUAAACUGCUGUGGUAAGAGAAAAAUGCUAUGUAGAGUGGAAAGCUACAUAGAGGGAUGGUACCUUACUAGAAAGCCCCGGCUAACUACGUGCCAGCAGCCGCGGUAAUACGUAGGGGGCGAGCGUUACCCGGAAUCACUGGGCGUAAGGGAGCGUAGGUGGCCUAACAUGUCAACUGUGAAAACCCGGAGCUCAACUCCGGACUUGCAGUUGAAACUGGUAGGCUUGAGGACGGUAGAGGAAGACGGAACUGCCAGUGUAGGGGUAAAAUCCUUAGAUAUUGGCAGGAACGCCGGUGACGAAGGUGGUUAUCUGGGCCGGUUCUGACACUGAUGCUCGAAAGCCAGGGGAGCGAACGG